UGGGGAAUAUUGCACAAUGGGGGAAACCCUGAUGCAGCGACGCCGCGUGAACGAAGAAGGUAUUCGUAUCGUAAAGUUCUGUCCUAUGGGAAGAUAAUGACAGUACCAUAGAAGAAAGCUCCGGCUAAAUACGUGCCAGCAGCCGCGGUAAUACGUAUGGAGCGAGCGUUGUCCGGAAUUAUUGUGCGUAAAGGGUACGCAGGCGGUUUAAUAAGUCGAAUGUUAAAGAUCGGGGCUCAACCCCGCAAAGCAUUGGAAACUGAUAAACUUGAGUAGUGGAGAGGAAAGUGGAAUUCCUAGUGUAGUGGUGAAAUACGUAGAUAUUAGGAGGAAUACCAGUAGCGAAGGCGACUUUCUGGACACAAACUGACGCUGAGGUACGAAAGAGUGGGGAGCAAACAGG
rnacentral:rRNA from 1 species